UUUUUUUAACUCUCAGACUUGUCCACUCUGAGCCUCCAGCAAUGCAUCAGCUGCAGUUCACAUUUUCCUAACCCAACACUGACUGCCACAAAGAUUCUGCUAAUGGAUUUCUGCUCUAGAAAUGACCUUGGGCCAAAAGAUUGGGGAGAUUCAACAACGUGUGCCAACAACAUGUGAAAGAAAAUUCUACAUGUGUGAUAGCUCUUAUUCCGUAAAUUCAAAUUUAAAGAAUCGAUCAACAGCAGCAGCACGAGAGAAUUGAUUGAAAAUGCUAAGGUUCAGAGAUGGCAUGUUUGUCAUGAACUCACAGACCAAAGGAACUUGCUGACAAGGAUAUUUGAAAAGUUUUAAGGUAAAAACAAACAACCAAUCAACCACAACAAUAUGAAGAAGACGAUAUCUACCUGAAAAAUUCUAGGAAAGUACGAGAACAGAAAGGAUUGACUUGAAUUUCAGUAUCCCCAUUUUAUUACUCUGAUGCUUCCAUCG